rnacentral:lncRNA from 1 species
GGUAGAGGCAAUGCACCUGAGUAACUGGAAGGGGUGGAUCCUGGCUCCACCCCUUCCCAGACCUCAUUUAAGGGUUGGCAGUGGAGGUGAGGGUAUUUCUGGUUGGAGAUCCUUGACUACCUGAGGCUUUCUAAAGCAUUACAACUGCAAAACUCUUCUUCUGUGAACUGACUCAGCAUCCAUCUGCAUAGUACAACACGGUUCAUAAAGCUUUUUGCUCUCUGAACUCUGAGAGGAGAUACUUGGCCCAGAGGAAUUCCUCGCUUUAAAGGCAGAAAGUUAAAUCUGGAGGUUCCUGUACCAGGUGGUGGCUGUCAGAGUUGCUGCUCACAGGCUUGGCCAUCAUUCCUUCUCAUCAGAGGAACGCAGAGCCUUCGCACCUUACUCUCAAGUCUGUUGUUUCCAAUCUCCAAUGCAGUACCUCAAAGAAGGAAGCAAUUAGCACAGCCAGGACUCAUCCAGGCUCGUGCACACUCUACCAUGGUAGAAACUAUCUCUGCAUUCUCCAAGAGCUGUAAUGACCAACUUAAAUGAAGGCAGUGUGUUUGAAAAAGGAAAACUGAGAAACUAGACUGACAGAGAAAACACCACAGUCUCCUUUAGCACCUGUUAGUCUGUUUUGUUUGUACCACGGGACAGCGAUGACAGACCUUUUGGUUGUUUGUUGCCAAAUG